rnacentral:rRNA from 1 species
GGAUUAGAUACCCUGGUAGUCCACGCCGUAAACGAUGUCAACUAGCCGUUGGGCCUAUUAAAAGGUUUAGUGGCGCAGCUAACGCGAUAAGUUGACCGCCUGGGGAGUACGGUCGCAAGACUAAAACUCAAAUGAAUUGACGGGGGCCCGCACAAGCGGUGGAGCAUGUGGUUUAAUUCGAUGCAACGCGAAGAACCUUACCAUCCCUUGACAUCCUCAGAACUUGUAAGAGAUUACUUGGUGCCUUCGGGAACUGAGUGACAGGUGCUGCAUGGCUGUCGUCAGCUCGUGCCG